GACGAACGCUGGCGGCGUGCUUAACACAUGCAAGUCGAGCGGUAAGGCCCUUUCGGGGGUACGACGAGCGGCGAACGGGUGAGUAACACGUGGGUGACCUGCCCUCCAGCUCUGGGAGUAAGCCUGGGAAACCGGGUCUAAUACUGGAUAUGACUCCAUGACGCAUGUUGGUGGGGUGGAAAGCCUUGUGCGGCUGAGGAUGGGCCCGCGGCCUAUCAGCUUGUUGGUGGGGUGANGGCCUACCAAGGCGACGACGGGUAGCCGGCCUGAGAGGGCGACCGGCCACACUGGGACUGAGACACGGCCCAGACUCCUACGGGAGGCAGCAGUGGGGAAGUCUUGCGCAAUGGGCGAAAGCCUGACGCAGCGACGCCGCGUGAGGGAUGACGGCC
rnacentral:rRNA from 1 species